UUCAAGUAAUCCAGGAUAGGCUGUAUCCAUUCUAACUCGCCUAUUCUUGGUUACUUGCACU
rnacentral:pre_miRNA from 1 species